CACGUAGGCGGAUAGUUAAGUUAGAGGUGAAAGCCCAGGGCUCAACCCUGGAACUGCCUUUGAUACUGGCUGUCUAGAGAUCGAGAGAGGUGAGUGGAAUUCCGAGUGUAGAGGUGAAAUUCGUAGAUAUUCGGAGGAACACCAGUGGCGAAGGCGGCUCACUGGCUCGAUACUGACGCUGAGGUGCGAAAGCGUGGGGAGCAAACA
rnacentral:rRNA from 1 species